GAUCGAUCGACCCCAGCGAUAAGUCGGCGUCAUUCAGAACAGAAACAGCAAACAAAAAGUUUCAAAUUCACGUUGAGUCAUCGAGUGGGGGAAAAUACAUCCAAAAAUAAUACUAACAGACGAUAUUAAUAAAGUUCUAAGGAAUUACGGUAAUUUGUAUAUAUUUUUGUAUUAUAUAAUUUUAGCACAACUCAAUUGUCAAAUGUUUCCCAAGUGUUGGAAAGGCAAUUAUAAAGACAUAAAGCGAAAUUAUGUCAAAUUGCUCCAGUUGAUAAUGAAGAUGAGAAGAACUGUGGGAUUUGACCUUUGUGCGCGGCCUGAUGGCUAAUGGCAAAAUUCUAUUGACUGACGUGUUGGCGGCUGUCUGUGUGUGUGUGUGUGUGUGUGUGUGUGAGUGGGUAGCCGCCAUGGCUUAAUUGACUUAGCUGCGACGCAAAUGCAAAAGAUGUUGCAAAAAUAGCUAAAAACCAUUCGCCUCAGCCCAACUACAAGCCACGCCCACACAUCCUGCUGUCCACCAAGAAUGGACAGUAACAACAUCAAAGCAAACAAUCGAUGGUUCAGGCAGAGGCACGAGUUGGUUCACUGAUGGGGGUUUGCCCCCAUUUCUAUUUAUAUAGAGGGGCGAAUCCAAAGCCCGGCCACGAGUUGGCUCUUGCAUUGAUAUACAGCAAGAGGCAAAUAAACAAUGCAAAUG